CUUCGGCGUCACCUAAAGGGUUGGUCUAACCAGACUAUAAAUGAGCAAUCAUUUACCAGCUUUACAUUCUUCAUGAUCCUUCCAACCGACUUCUUCAAGAAAAGCAGCUUUUAUUACAAUUACAAAACAGGUCCUGGGGCAGGAGUUGAUCUGACAGACAGGUCUAUUGUUCUGAGAGUAACUGUAGGCCGGCAUACAGAUCUCUGCAUCAUACAGAAAGUACUGUGUAGUGUCUGGUUGACUCCUGCUCCAGGAACUACUCAAAAAAAAACAAAGCAUGAGCUCUUCACCUAAAGACUCUCGCGUUAUUCUACCAAGCGCUGAACACAUUUAUUUAAAAAACUCCAAAGAUCCUCCUGAUUUUCGAAAUUACAAAGUAGUUAUAUUUAAUAGGUAAGUUCACAUAUAGACACAUUUUGUAAGUGUGAGAAAGUAUGUAAAACAUUGUUUUUACAGGCAACUUUUCUUUUUUUUUCUUUUUUUUUACGUUUGA
rnacentral:lncRNA from 1 species